rnacentral:tRNA from 1 species
GGGGCCCCUAUGUGCGACUCGUCUACACAUGGCCCCUCCCCAUGGGGCCGAUCUCCAUGAGUUCGGUCCCCAUGGGGUCCCG